GAGUUUGAUCUUGGCUCAGAUUGAACGCUGGCGGCAUGCCUUACACAUGCAAGUCGAACGGCAGCACGGGAGCUUGCUCCUGGUGGCGAGUGGCGAACGGGUGAGUAAUGCAUCGGAACGUAUCCUGGAGUGGGGGAUAACGUAGCGAAAGUUACGCUAAUACCGCAUAUUCUGUGAGCAGGAAAGCGGGGGACCUUCGGGGCCUCGCGCUCUUGGAGCGGCCGAUGUCGGAUUAGCUAGUUGGUGAGGUAAAGGCUCACCAAGGCGACGAUCCGUAGCAGGUCUGAGAGGAUGAUCUGCCACACUGGAACUGAGACACGGUCCAGACUCCUACGGGAGGCAGCAGUGGGGAAUUUUGGACAAUGGGGGCAACCCUGAUCCAGCCAUGCCGCGUGAGUGAAGAAGGCCUCGG
rnacentral:rRNA from 1 species